rnacentral:rRNA from 1 species
GAUGAACGCUAGCGGCAGGCUUAAUACAUGCAAGUCGAGGGACAGCACAGGUAGCAAUACUGGGUGGUAACCGGCAAACGGGUGCGGAACACGUACACAACCUUCCUUUAAGUGGGGGAUAGCUCAGAGAAAUUUGGAUUAAUACCCCGUAAUAUAGUUGAAUGGCAUCAUUUGAUUAUUAUCGCUACGGCGCUUAAUGAUGGGUGUUCGGCUGAUUAGAUAGUUGGCGGGGUAAGGGACCACCAAGUCUAAGAUCAGUAGCUGAUGUUAGAACAUGUACAGUCACACGGGCGCUAAGACACGGGCCCGACGCCUACGGGAGGCAGCAGUAAGGAAUAUUGGUCAAUGGACGCAAGUCUGAACCUGCCAUGCCGCGUGAAGGAUUAAGUUCCUCUAAAUUGUAAACUUCUUUUAUUUGGGACGAAAAAGGGCCUUUCUAGGUCAACUGACGGUAACAGAUGAAUAAGCACCGGCUAACUCCGUGCCAGCCGCCGCGGUAAGAC